GAACGCGGAGCGGACGCAGACUGGCCGCCAUUGCGCUGCGGGGAAAGCGGCCUCUUGUGUGAGGGCCUGUGAGAUUCUCCGGAUAUGGCCGGAGUAUUUCCUUAUCGAGGGCCGGGUAACCCGGUGCCUGGCCCUCUAGCCCCGCUACCGGACUACAUGUCGGAGGAGAAGCUGCAGGAGAAAGCUCGAAAAUGGCAGCAAUUGCAGGCCAAGCGCUAUGCAGAAAAGCGGAAGUUUGGGUUUGUGGAUGCCCAGAAGGAAGACAUGCCCCCAGAACAUGUCAGGAAGAUCAUUCGAGACCAUGGAGACAUGACCAACAGGAAGUUCCGCCAUGACAAAAGGGUUUACUUGGGGUAAGGAACAUCCUGAAAUAAUUUCAUUUGGAAUUUGUCCCUUUUCCCUUCUCCAUGUCCCACAGUCUUGGAUUGAUGCUUUGACAGCUCAUCUUGGUGGAUAUAAGAGAAAGGAGAAAACCAUUAGGAGUCUCUGAUAAUUUCUACAUCUUCCACUUUUGCAGUCUGUUUCCCCCUCUUCCCGAUCUGGGACUGGUGCUUUAAUUUGUCCUGUUGAUGAUGUUUUAAGAUGUCCCUGGCCAGGCGCGGUGGCUCAUGCCUGUAAUCCCAGCACUUUGGGAGGCCGAGGCGGGUGGAUCAUGAGGUCAGGAGAUCGAGACCAUCCUGGCUAACACGGUGAAACCCCGUCUCUACUAAAAAUACAAAAAAUUAGCCGGGCGUGGUGGCAGGUGUCUGUAGUCCCAGCUACUUGGGAGGCUGAGGCAGGAGAAUGGCGUGAACCUGGGAGGCGGAACUUGUAGUGAGCCGAGAUCACGCCACUGCACUCUGGCCUGGGCGAAAGUACGAGACU
rnacentral:sRNA from 1 species